ACCUGGUAGUAGAGGGGGUACGCAGCUGGAAGUUGACUGUUGAAUAGGGGCGGCAGGGUAGCCUAGUGGUUAGAGCGUUGGAUUAAUAACCAAAAGGUUGCAAGUUCAAAUCCCCGAGCUGACAAGGUACAAAUCUGUCGUUCUGCCCCUGAACAGGCAGUUAAACCACUGUUCCUAGGCCGUCAUUGAAAAUAAGAAUUAGUUCUUAACUGACUUGCCUAGUAAAAAUAAAGGUUUAAUAAUAAUAAUUUUGCCGUAAAAAAAUACAUGUAGAUUAAGGGCUGGAUUCAAUCCAUAUCGCCUUUGGAGGUGUAACAGAUCCACGAUACGGGUUGAAUCCAGCCCGACUAUCCUCCAUCUAGCACGCUAUUGGCUAAGGCCCCAAUAUACUCCUAUAAGAAAUGCAUGUCAAUUUAAAGUUGUUCUGGUCACUCUUGGCUUGUUAGGCCUAGAUUCCAUCAGAUCAAAGCUGUAAACCCGGUGAUAGCCGACACCCGGGUAGUUGAUGUUUUUUGGCGGUGUCGGAGGCGGAACUCUUUAGGAGCUGUCAAAUCGGUGAGCUGCAACACUUGUGAUCAUUGUCAGGAAGCCACACCCAUCCGACGACAGUUAGAAGUUCCGAACGAGAAAGAGUUUAUUGAAUUAUACGAAUAAUAACGCUCAAAUUUAAAAAUCAUUAAAACAAAAAAUAAGAGGAUUUCUAGCAGGCUAAUCAAGGUGUAGAUUACAUCACACAUUCCAGUGUUUUUUAAAAUGUAUUUUUGUACUUGAUUUAAAAACUAGGCAAGUCUGACAGCCUAGGAACAAUGCGUUAACUACCUUCGGUUACGAGUCCAACGCUCUAACCACGAGGCUAUGCUGCCGCCCCAGGUAGCCUUUGAACAAGGCUGCAUGGGUUUUCUCAACGCGACUCCGCGCCGCCAACAGCAAUGUCCACUUUAGGUGUAAUGCCGGGAGCCGCUUGUGGAUUUGACAGCUCGAACGCAGUUCCACCUCAGACACCGCCAAAACAACCACUAUCCGGGUGUCGGAUAUCACUGAUCUGAUAGAAUUCAGCCCCAAAUCUAAUGUAUUAUAAUACUGUAGGGGGUAAUAUAUUAUAAUACUGUAGGGGUUAGGGGUUAAUGUAAUAUAAUACUGUAGGGGU
ensembl:lncRNA